AUUGAACGCUGGCGGCAGGCUUAACACAUGCAAGUCGAGCGAACGGCGGACGGGUGAGUAAUGUCUAGGAAACUGCCGGAGGGAGGGGGAUAACUACUGGAAACGGUAGCUAAUAGCGCAUACCAUCAGAUGGGCCCAGAUGGGAUUAGAUUGUAGGUGGGGUAAUGGCACACCAAGGCGCAGAUCCCUAGCUGGGAUGAGAGGAAGACCAGACACCAUGGAACGGAGAACCGGUCCAGACGCCGACGGGAGGCAGCAGUGGGGAAUAUUGCACAAGGGGCGCAAGCCUGAUGCAGCCAUGCCGCGUGUGUGAAGAAGGCCUUCGUGUUGUAAAGCACUUUCAGCGAGGAGGCGUUACUCGCAGAAGAAGCACCGGCUAACUCCGUGCCAGCAGCCGCGGUAAUUC
rnacentral:rRNA from 1 species